rnacentral:rRNA from 1 species
AUGGGGGAGGCGGAUUUGGAGGAGGUGGUGCUCUCCUGGACGGCGCAGGAGAUCAGCGACGACGACCUCUACAGGGACAAGGUUGAGACUAUUCCCUGCAACUUCAAGUCACUUAAUCACUAUCUCACGUCGUAUCGUGUGCCUCUGAUUGAAGAAACAAGAUCAGAUCUGUGCUCAUGCCUUGAACUCAUCAGUGAAGCACCCUCGUCGAAAAUACUUUCCAUGGAGGUAGCAGGAAAACCAGGAUCAUACUUUAUGGAUGUGGACUUUUGGGACAAUGAUGCUGGUUUUUCUACUGGGGCUUAUUCUGCGAGGAAUGGUGACAUCUAUAUUUUGUCUAGCGUAAAACCUGAAGCUGCAGAGGACUUAAACCGCCAUGGUGUGACAUAUUGCUUGGCAAUGGUCACUGAGGUUUCUAUGGAUGAUGAAUACCAGAAGGGCUUCAGAGUCAAAGUUGCAAAGAAUAAUUGUUUGGAAGAAGAAGAUUUAAACAAACUCAAGCAUGCAAUAUUUCUCAAUAAUAUCACGACAAACACACGGAUAUGGAAAGCACUUACCUUCGAUACACACAUGAACGAAAAUUUCGCAGUAAUCAAGUCGCUUUUAGCCCCCACAAAUUUGGGUGAGGAUGUUUGCCGUAUGUGUGCUAAACAGGAUGGGGGCUGUUUGGCUUCUUACACAGAGCAACUACUGUCAGUUAAGCUUAAUCAAUCGCAAUUAGAUGCUAUUGAAUCUGUCAUCUCAGCUGUACGAUGUGGGCAUGUGAACCGCGUGAAGCUUAUAUGGGGUCCACCAGGCACUGGGAAGACCAAGACGGUUAGCGCUUUACUGUGGGUUUUGGCGUGUUUGAAAUGCAGAACUCUUACCUGUGCUUCCACAAAUGUUGCUGUUGUUGGAGUUUGCACUCGUUUCCUUCAGAACUUGAAGGAUUUCAAUGAGCACAUUGACAACAUUUGUCUACCUUCUUCUCUUGGAGAUAUCUUGCUAUUUGGGAACAGGUCUAACAUGGACAUCACCGAGGAUCUUCAGGAAGUUUUCUUGGACUUUCGUGUCGAUGAACUUGUGGAAUGCUUUUCAUCAUUGUCCGGAUGGAACUACAGAAUAGCUUCAAUGAUAUCCUUUUUUGAAGACUCUGCUUCACGGUAUGAUAUGCUUCUUGAGGAUGAUGGCAAAAUUGAUCCAGUGUGCUUUCUGGACUUCAUAAAGAAACAAUUUGAUGCGACAGCAAUAGCUCUGAAAAGAUGCAUAAUGAAUUUGUGGGUUCACCUUCCUGGAAGGUGCUUUUCUCGUGAUAGUGUCAUAAAUAUAUCUUCAUUGCUGAAUAUGCUGGAAAAUUUUGGGACCCUUCUGUGCAACGUAGACUUGACCGAAGAGGGUUUGAAAAGGGGCCUUGGUUACCUGUCAACUGAAAACUCUGUUUGUGCACAGCCUAUAUAUUCUGUUGAGAAGGAACUGGACGGAGCAAGGUCUUCAUGCCUUAAGUUGCUUAAAGAUCUGCUACACUCGCUUAAUUUACCCACUGGAGUAGGCAAAGACUGGGUCCAGAGCUACUGCAUACGUAAUGCAACACUUCUUUUCUGUACCGCCUCUAGCUCUUAUCGGUUACAUCACAUGGAGAUUGCACCCCUCGAUGUAUUAAUUGUUGAUGAGGCUGCUCAAGUGCGGGAGUGUGAAUUGGUGAUCCCACUACGUCUGCAUUGGUUAAAACAUGUUGUUUUGGUAGGAGAUGACUGUCAGCUGAGUGCAAUGGUUAAAAGCAAAGUAUGCAAAGAAGCUGGAUUUGAGACAAGUCUAUUUGGGAGAUUGGUUAUGCUCAAAUUUGAUAAACAUUUGCUGAAUAUACAGUAUCGCAUGAAUCCUUGUAUCAGCUUAUUUCCAAAUACUCAGUUUUAUGGGAGGAAGAUUUUAGAUGGUUCCAAUGUCCUGUCUCCAAGUUAUAACAAGGAUUACACAUGCCUCCCUUUUGGCAGCUACACGUUUAUAAAUGUCACUGAUGGAAGGGAAGACAAAGAGGGCACAGGAAACAGUCGCAGAAACAUGGUUGAAGUUGCUGUUGUUUUGCACCUAAUCCAUACCAUCUUUAAAUCUUGGAAAAGAACAGAUCAAGGGCUCAGCAUCGGUGUGGUCUCUCCAUAUAAAGCUCAAGUUGAUGCAAUUAAAAGUCGGCUUGGCAAAAAAUAUGAUACAUGUGAUGGCUUUCAUGUGCGGGUGAAGUCCGUUGAUGGUUUCCAAGGAGAAGAGGAUGAUAUAAUAAUACUAUCAACUGUUAGAUCUAAUGGGAGAGGAGUUAUUGGAUUUCUUGCUGAUAACCAAAGAACAAAUGUUGCUCUUACUAGAGCAAGGCACUGUCUUUGGAUUGUUGGGAACGCUCAUACACUAUAUAAAAGUGGGACCGAAUGGACAGACCUUGUUGCUGACGCAGAGAGACGUAAAUGUGUUUUCAGUGCCACUAAUGACGCAACCAUGUGUAAGUUGGUUGUGCAAGUAAAGCAAGAGCUUGAUGAACUUGACGAUCUUCUUAAUGCUGAUUCAGCAGUUUUCAGCAAUACUAGAUGGAAGGUCAUUCUUAGCGACGAGUUUAGAAAGUCUUUCACCAAACUAAAAUCACCACAGCUCAGGAAGGAAGUACUCCAAAAGCUUAUCAGACUCGGAGAUGGUUGGAGGACAACAGUUAAGAACAUUGAUAUACCUGGUGCUUCUCAUCUUGCAAAAAUAUACAAGGUCAGAAACCUGUAUCUUGUUUGGAGUACUGACGUGGAGAAAACCGAAGGAAGGUAUUUUCAGAUAAUAAGAAUUUGGGACCUAGUGUCACAGCAAAAUGUUGCCAGAACUGUUCAACGUCUCGAGAAUCUGUUUUCCAUGUACACAGAUGAUUACCUGGAUCAUUGCAGGAGAGUGCAGACACAGGGGAAACUGGAGGUUCCUAUGGUUUGGCAUAUUGAGCAUGAUAUUAUCCGCUAUAACAAGGAUUGCAAAGGUGAUGCUCAUGAGGAGCAUGAUCUCGUGGAUACAUCAUAUGCCAUGGAGAAUUCAAAAGUUAGCGAAAGCUUCUUGCUAAUGAAAUUCUACUCUUUAUCAUCUGGUGUGGCAAAGCAUUUGCUGACAGCUACUGAUGGAUCUGAAAUCGACAUCCCCUUUGAACUAACUGAUGAAGAGCAGGAGAUAAUCCAAUUCCCGCUCACUAGUUUUAUACUUGGGAGGUCAGGCACCGGAAAAACCACUGUAUUGACAAUGAAACUGAUUCAAAAAGAGCAACGGUCAUUGAUUGCCUCCCAAGGUCUACAUUUGGGAGAUGAUUUAUCAGGGCUGGAUCACAAAAAUAUUAUGCCACUGAAGGACGCAGGAGAAAGUUCUGUGAAACAAGUGUUUAUCACUGUAAGCCCAAAGUUGUGUUCAGCCAUAAAAAAUCACAUUUGUGGACUUAAAAGAUUUGGCACCGGUGAUAUCUCUGGCCAGCCUAGCAUUCUUCACAUGCAUGACAUCAUGGAUGACCUGGAAGAGUUUACAGAAAUUCCUGACAAUUUUUGUGAUCUACCCCAUGAGCACUAUCCUCUUACUAUAACAUAUCGUAAGUUUUUGAUGAUGCUUGAUGGAACAUGCCGGACAUCAUUUUUUGAUGCGUUUUAUGGUGAAAUGAAGUCUAGCUUUGAGAGAGGCCAUUCAAGAUCUCGUGCAGUGCAAACUUUAAUUGAAUUGAAGGAAGUUACCUAUGAAAAAUUUGCUGCUUUCUACUGGCCUCGUUUCAAUGCAGACCUGACAAAGAAAUUUGCCGCAUCCACUGUCUUCACCGAAAUAAUUUCUCAUAUUAAGGGUGCAUAUCAAGCAAGCAGGCCUUGUACUGGCAAACUGGGAAGACAAGAUUAUGUGAUGCUUUCAGAUAAAAGAUUUUCAUCUUUGAACAAUGAGAAGAGAGAUAAAAUUUAUGAUAUAUUCCUUGAAUAUGAGAGUAUGAAAUGUACUGCCAAGGAGUUUGAUUUGUCAGAUUUUGUCAAUAGUCUUCACAGCAGUCUUGUAUCUGAGGGCUACCAUGGCGAUAUGGUGGAUUUUGUUUACAUAGAUGAGGUACAGGAUCUCACCAUGACACAAAUAGCACUUCUUAAGUAUGUCUGUAUGAACAUCAAGGAAGGCUUCCUUUUUGCUGGUGAUACUGCACAGACUAUAGCAAGAGGUAUCGAUUUCAGGUUUGAAGAUAUCCGUUCACUUUUUUAUACUGCAUUCCUGGCAGAAACAGAAGCGUCAAAUCAAGGACUUAAACACGGUAAAAAGGUCCAUCUCUCUGAUAUGUUCCAACUGUCUCAAAAUUUCCGCACACAUUGUGGCAUCCUCCGUAUGGCACAAAGUAUCAUGAGCCUUCUGUACUUCUUUUUCCCAUCAAGUGUUGACAAGCUUAAUCCAGAGACUGGACUUGUAUACGGAGAAGCUCCUGUGCUGCUGGAGUCUGAUAACGAUGAAAAUGUAAUUAUGACCAUUUUUGGAGAAAGCAAAACCAAACAUGGUAACCUGCAUGGGUUUGGUGCUGAGCAAGUCAUACUGGUUCGUGAUGAUGCUGCCAAAAAACAAAUUAUUGAUCUUGUUGGUAAACAAGCUCUUGUUUUGACCAUUGUUGAAUGUAAGGGCCUUGAGUUUCAGGAUGUGCUGUUGUACAACUUUUUUGGUUCGUCGCCUUUAAGAAACAAAUGGAGAGUUCUCUAUGGCUACAUGAAAGAUAGAGAUAUUAUAUCACACUCUGAGGAGAUCUCUCAUCCGGGUUUCGACAGAAGCAAGCAUUAUCUUCUCUGUUCAGAGCUGAAGCAACUAUAUGUUGCAAUCACACGCACUAGGCAAAGACUCUGGAUAUGUGAAAAUACGGAGGAUUACUGUCGACCAAUGUUUGACUACUGGAAGAAGUUGUGUCUAGUAGAAGUUAGAUUACUAGAUUCUUCCCUCAUUCAGGCAAUGCAGACGGGGAGCAGCAGUGAUGAUUGGAGGCUACGGGGAACCAAGUUAUUCAAUGAGGGGCAAUUCGAGAUGGCUACUAUGUGCUUUGAAAAGGCCGGUGAUGCACAUAGAGAGAAGUUGGCGAGAGCUGCUGGACUUGUAGCGACUGCUAACCGUGUCAUCUCAACAAAUUUGGAGUUGGGCAAGGCUUCAUUGCAAACAGCAUCAGAGAUUUACGAGUCCAUAGGCAUGCAUGAGAAAGCUGCUACUUGCUAUAUCAAAUUAGGUGACUACAAAAAAGCAGGUAUGGUCUAUAUGCAAAAAUGCGGUACUUCUAAACUUGAGGAUGCUGGUGAUUGUUUUGCUAUGGCUGAAUGCUGGUCGGAGGCAGCUGAAGUGUUCUUGAAAGCUAAAUGUUACACAAAGUGUUUCUCCAUGUGCUCGAAAGGGAAAAAAUUAUUCAAUCUGGGCCUACAGUUUCUGCAGCAGUUAGAGGAGGAACAUUCGCUUGAGAAUUCAAAAUCUUUGGAGGUUUCUGCAAUUAGAACAAAGUAUCUGGAUAAUUGUGCUCAACAUUAUUUUGAGCGUGGUCACAUAAAGCAUAUGAUGCCUUUUGUUAAAGCUUUCAGCUCUAUGGAUCAUGUACGGGCAUUCCUAAAUUCUCGGAAUCUUGUUGAUGAACUGUUGAGUUUAGAGAUGGAGAUGGGUAAUUUCCUAGAAGCUGCAGGAAUAGCAAAGCAUAAUGGAGAUGUCUUACUGGAGGUAGACAUGCUCGAGAAGGCAGGCUUGUUUGAGGAUGCGAUACGGCUUCUCCUCCUCCAUAUCAUUGUGGAUUCCUUGUGGUCUUCAAAUAGUAGAGGGUGGCCUCCCAAAAGAUAUGCAGAGAAGGAACAGUUGCUUUCAAAAGCAAAAGAGAUGGCAGAAAAGGUAUCCGAGUGCUUCUACUGCUUUGUUUGCGUGGAAACUGAUGCACUGUCAGAUGUGAAUAAGUCUCUUCCCAGUUUAAAUUGCACUUUGGUUGAGGGCAGAAAAUGUGCAAACUUGUUAGUUGAACUCGUUGCUUCCCGUUCGAUUCUUGAUGUUCAUCUCCAGUCUCGAGCCUCUGGAUACAAUAUAGAAUUAGGGCCAGGAUCUGAGGAUGAAAAUUGUUGUAAUGAUAUGCUGGCCUCUAACCAGAUGUCACCCCAAACUCUGUUUUAUGUUUGGAAUAACUGGAAGUCAAUCAUAAUCAAAGUACUAUCUCAACUUUGCCACGCCGAUGGUCCAGAAUUAAAUGAUUAUGCAGUUAUGUAUGAAGAUCUUUGUGCCAAGUACUUUUGGAUUGCGAAAAGAUGGUGA